rnacentral:rRNA from 1 species
UACGUAGGGUCCAAGCGUUAAUCGGAAUUACUGGGCGUAAAGCGUGCGCAGGCGGUUUUGUAAGCCAGAUGUGAAAGCCCCGGGCUUAACCUGGGAAUGGCAUUUGGGACUGCAAAGCUGGAGUACGGCAGAGGGAGGUGGAAUUCCACGUGUAGCAGUGAAAUGCGUAGAGAUGUGGAGGAACACCGAUGGCGAAGGCAGCCUCCUGGGCUAGUACUGACGCUCAUGCACGAAAGCGUGGGGAGCAAACAGG